rnacentral:tRNA from 1 species
GCAAAGGAAAAGGGGCAGACUGUAAAUCUGUUGGCGCAGCCAAACGCAGGUUCGAAUCCUGCCCUCUCCA